AUGUAGAGCAAUCUGUCUUUUAAGUAGGGAUAAAUUACUAUAAAAGAAAUAAAUCCUAGAUAGUUUCCCCUCAAGUCAAGCAUCUUGU
rnacentral:pre_miRNA from 1 species